rnacentral:rRNA from 1 species
AGGGCGUAUGGUGGAUGCCUUGGCAGACAGGACCGAUGAAGGACGUUUGAGGCUGCGAUAUGCCUCGGGGAGCCGCCAACAGGGCUUUGAUCCGAGGAUUUCCGAAUGGGGGAACCCACCGACCGUCAUGGGUCGGUACCGGCUUCGGCCGGGGGGUACGCAGGGAAGUGAAACAUCUCAGUACCUGCAGGAAAGGAUAUUCCGUGAGUAGUGGCGAGCGAAAGCGGAUGAUGGCCAAACCUUGCGCGUGUGAUACCCGUCGGGGGUUGCGCGCGGGGUGUUGCGGGAUCGCGUGCGCCGGCUCCGACGGGCCGGCCGGCAGUUGCAGAAAACCAUGUGUCAGGGGAACCGGGUUGAAUACCGGGCCGCAGAGGGUGAGGGCCCCGUACCUGAACGCGCAUGGUCUGCCGAUCGCGUCUCCCAAGUAGCACGGGUCCCGUGGAACCCCGUGCGAAUCCGCCCAGACCGUUGGGUAAGCCUGAAUAUUCCUGUCUGACCGAUAGCGAACGAGUACCGUGAGGGAAAGGUGAAAAGUACCCCGGGAGGGGAGUGAAACAGUCUCUGAAACCGUGCGCCUACAAUCCGUCGGAGCCCUUUUGUGGGGUGACGGCGUGCCUAUCGAAAAAUGAGUCUGCGAGUCAGUGGCAUGUGGCGAGCAUAACCCGUGUGGGGUAUGCGUAGCGAAGGCGAGUCUUAAAAGGCGUUUGAGUCGCGUGUCCUGGACCCGAAGCGGGAUGAUCUAGCCCUGAGCAGGUUGAAGCGCGGGUAAGACCGCGUGGAGGACCGAACCCACCUGGGUUGAAAACCGGGGGGAUGACUUGGGGCUAGGGGUGAAAGGCCAAUCAAAUUCCGUGAUAGCUGGUUCUCUCCGAAAUGCAUUUGGGUGCAGCGUCGGGUCAUUACGUCCCGGGGGUAGAGCUACUGGAUGCUUGCGGGCCCGUAUCGGGUACCAACAGCAACCAAACUCCGAAUACCGGUGACGCGUAUCCCGGCAGUGAGUCGGCGGGGGAUAAGCUUCGUCGUCGAAAGGGAAACAGCCCAGACCGUCGUCUAAGGUCCCGAAGCGUGUGCUAAGUGGGAAAGGAUGUGGAGUCGCAUAGACAGCCAGGAGGUUGGCUCAGAAGCAGCCACCCUUGAAAGAGUGCGUAACAGCUCACUGGUCUAGUGGUUCCGCGCCGACAAUGUAGCGGGGCUCAAGCACACCACCGAAGACGCGGCAGUAUUUUGUACUGGGUAGGAGAGCGUCCCAUGAGGGGCGAAGCGGCCGUGUGAACGCGCCGUGGACUUCAUGGGAGUGAGAAUGCAGACAUGAGUAGCGAGAGACGGGUGAAGAUCCCGUCCGCUGGAUGACCAAGGGUUCCAGGGCCACGUUCAUCGUCCCUGGGUGAGUCGGGUCCUAAGGCGAGGCCGACAGGCGUAGUCGAAUGGAUGAACGGGUCGAUAUUCCCGUACCGGCUUUCAGCCGCCAAAACCGAGGCUUGGAGUACUAACCUCCGGGUCCGGGCUUACUGCUCCUUCGGGGGCGGGAUGCCCUGGCCUGUUGGGACCGAUCCUUGUAGUAGGUCAGCGCAGGAGUGACGCAGAAGGGUAGCCGGCCGCGGAGGUGGUCUUCCGUGGUCAAGCACGCAGGGCGUGGGACAGGCAAAUCCGUCCCGCAUGGGUCCGAGGUGCGAUGAUGGGGGCCUUAUGGCCCGAUAUCCGGUGAUCCCGGCUGCCGAGAAAAGCUUCGGCGUCAGGCUCAAAGCCGCCCGUACCCCAAACCGACACUGGUGGUCAGGUAGAGAAUACCAAAGCGAUCGAGCGAAUCCUGGUCAAGGAACUCGGCAAAUCACUCCCGUUCCUUCGGUUUAAGGGAGACCCCCGAUGGUGAACACACUUGCUGUGGGAGCUUUUGGGGGUGGCACAGACCAGGGGGUAGCGACUGUUUACCAAAAACACAGGUGCAUGCGAAGGCGCAAGCCGCUGUAUAUGCACUGACGCCUGCCCGGUGCCGGAAGGUUAAGAGGAUCCGUCAGUCCCUUCGGGGACGAAGCGGUGAAUUCAAGCCCCGGUAAACGGCGGUGGUAACUAUAACCAUCCUAAGGUAGCGAAAUUCCUUGUCGGGUAAGUUCCGACCUGCACGAAUGGCGUAACGACUUCCCCACUGUCUCGACCAGGAGCUCGGCGAAAUUGCAGUACGAGUAAAGAUGCUCGUUAAGCGCAGAAGGACGAAAAGACCCCGGGACCUUUACUAUACCUUGGUAUUGG